AGGCUUUGUUCAGCUUUUUGGCAUCUCGAUCCACAUCAAAACCCUGAGGACUGCUCGCUUUAGCCUGGAGAAAAUAAUUGAAAAGGAAGCGGUGUCACCUUGGCAGAAAGAAUGCAGAAAACACCUACGUUGAGAAAUGACUCAGGGAUGUUCCUGCUGCAACAGAGCAGAUUGCCCAGGAGGGAGGUCAGCUCUUUUGAAUCAAGAUUCUGAUACCCUCAGCCAGAAGAACCAGAAUGGAAAAACAGACGCCUGAUCAAAUGCCUUCUGUCCCAGUCCAAUUCAAGGAAGUCUUAACUCUUAUAAUAGAAAUGGAACAUUCUAGGAACAUCUUCCAGGUUGCAGCAAACUCUGGGGAUGGAAUGUGUGAAGGAGUUUGCUGAGGGAUAUGAUUUGCAAAUUGGUUGCUCUAAGUAUUAUAUAGUAACCAGCAUCUUCCAGAACACAGCCAGAAAUACACUCACUUAAGUACAUUCAUACUUGUCAGUCCUUGUGUCCUGAUUUUCUACUUGAAUAGCUUCAAGGCUGGACAAUAAGAAUAGAUUGUUUCAUGAGAGGCAUGUGAAUUAAUUAAGAAAUAUGUUACAGGCAAAUUAGACUCUGAAUUAUUUUUCCCUCUCUUUCUCUUUCUCUUUUUCUUCUUCUUUCUUCUCCUUAUUUUUCCUCCCUUAUCUUCCUUGAACAAACAAGUACUGAAAAUCUAUUGUAUGUUAAGCACUACCCCAGUUGAAGUUGACUCCAUGAUUUAUGAAGCAUAGUCCCUGUUCCCAGGGAAAUAAACAUGUAAAUGACACAUGACAAUUGCAUUAUGAUACAGUAAGCACUUUUGGGUACAAAUAGCUGAGAGGAGAAAGGAAUUUUUAAGGAGGAGUUGACAUUUGUGCUGGUUCUCAAAGGGCGGUAGGAAUUAGACAAGCAAUUAAAUAAAAGAGAGAGGGGAGGUAGAAGAAAGACAUGCCAGGGAGAGACCACAGCCUGAUGCUUUGGGAGUCUGUGUACUUGCGUGCU
rnacentral:lncRNA from 10 species